AAAGUCGUAACAAGGUCUCCGUAGGUGAACCUGCGGAGGGAUCAUCAAAGAAUUUAACGUAAAAAAAACCACAAGUGCUUUGAGGAGAGGGGGAAAAAGGGAUUUCGCGGUUUCUUUUUCUUUCUUUCCUUGAUCACUUCAAACAAACGAUCGCAACUAAAAUAUGUGUCUUUCACGAGGGGAAAAUGUAUAACAAGUGUUUGCCUGAUAAAAACAUUGGAUUGGAAAAAAAAGAGAAAUAUACAACUUUCAACAACGGAUCUCUUGGCUCUC
rnacentral:misc_RNA from 1 species